rnacentral:lncRNA from 10 species
UGGAGACUGACUCCCAUCCACAACAAAUCCACAUUGCAACCGAAUGCCACGAGGUCAGCUGGGCUCAUUCACAUCACAUACAAUUCACACUCCUGGCGUCAUGACCUGCCAUGGCUUUUCAGGUUCUGGCUGAAUUCUUGGCAAGUUCCAGUAAUUCGAUCAGUGGAUGGCUACAAAAAAGAGAAAGUCUUCAAAGAGCAGAUGGCAUUUGCACUUGAAAAGCUCCACUGUGUUGAGAUGGAUGGAAUGUGUCCCAUCAAAUGUACAGACUUAGAGAUGACAUCAAGAUGCGGUUACGAGUUUGACUCCUUUUUGUCAACACUGCCACGGGGCACGGAGGCCUGGGCCCUGGAAACGUCCCUAGGUAAAUACUGAAGCGGGAAGAGGGAUGGCUG